GUGGGGUGGAGUGGGGUGGAGUGGAGUUGAGUGGGGUGGAGGGGGGUGGAGUGGGGUGGAGUGGGAUGGAGGGGGGAUACUGUGCAUGCUGUAGAGCAGCCCAGACCAAGCUUCCUCCCAGGAACAUCCCUCCAA
rnacentral:miRNA from 14 species